CGCCUCUACGAUUCUUGCCCGUCUCCCAUAUCGACUGCCGAGGUCGCGUUCCCUCUCCUCCUCGCUGCCUCGCUCUCUUCUUCGUUUCUUCUGCUUCUCCUUCUUCUUUCCUCUCUCUAUUGCUGGAGCGGCAGAGACCGCAGACGACGAAGAAGCGGCGGAGGCGUCAGGGAGAAGGGGGAAGAGGAGGAGGAGGAGGAGCGGAAGAAGCCAUUGGGAACUAUGCGAUCGGAUGAGGAGAGCGAGGAGGAGGAUUCUGACGCGCCGACGAGAAGGAGAACCGCCGCCGCCACCGCCACCAUCACAAUCGCUGGCCGCGGCAGCGGCCGUUGAUGGCGUUGCAGAUGACCUGGCAUCCAAGGUGCCGCAGGGGCGGCCCCCCUCUCGGCCUUAAGAACCUCGGUAACUCAUGCUACCUCAACAGCGUCCUCCAGUGCCUCACGUACACCCCUCCCCUCGCCCAGUUCUGCCUCUCCUCUCGUCACUCCUCACUCUGCAAGUCGCUCUUCGCGAACCGGGACAAGGAGUGCCCCUUCUGCAUCCUCGAGCGGCAGAUCGCUCGAUCCCUCAGCCUCGACGGGCCGCUUGAAGCCCCGUCCAAGAUUCAUAAGUCCCUUGCCCUCUUCGCCGAGCACUUCCGGUGGGGCCGCCAGGAAGACGCCCACGAGUUCCUCCGCUACGUAAUCGACGCCUGCCAUAACGCCUGCCUCAAGAUCCACAAGCGAAACGGCGGCGGAGGGACUCCGGAUGGUAACCCAAAGGCGGAGGGCCGCUCAGGGCCCAGCACCGUGAUGAAGGAGAUCUUCGGAGGGGCCCUCCUUAGUCAGGUGAAGUGCCUCGCGUGCAAGGGGGAGUCAAAUAAGUCGGACGAGAUCAUGGACAUCUGCCUUGAUCUCUUCCAGAGCAGCUCCUUGAAGGAUGCCCUAGCUCGAUUCUUUCAUCCUGAAGUAUUGGACGGCAACAAUAAGUACAACUGCGGCAAUUGUAAGAAACUCUCUGUUGCCAGAAAGCAGAUGUUUAUACUUCGAGCACCAAAUGUGCUUGUCGUGCAGCUCAAGAGAUUUGAAGGCAUACAUGGUGGGAAGAUCAACCGGAACAUUGAAUUUGAUGAAGCUUUGGGGCUUUCAGAGUUCAUGUUCAGUAUGAGUCAGGAUCCUGAGCCAGAGUAUAAUCUUUUUGGCAGUAUUGUGCAUUCAGGAUUUUCACCAGAGUCUGGACAUUAUUAUGCAUACAUCAAGGAUGCUUCUGGUCGUUGGUACUGUUGUAAUGAUGCUCAAGUUUCACUUUCAAGCAGACAAGAGGUUUUGUCAGAGAAGGUUUAUAUCCUUUUCUAUGUACGCAGCAACGGAAGCCCAAAGCCAAGCAAAAUUGUUUCUUCUUGCAACGCAUAUAAACCUUCAGUGACAAAUGGAAACGAUACAUCAAGCUUAAAAUCUACUGAAACACUGAAACCAACAAUCAUCAAGUCAGAUGGCGUGUCUUCUAAGAAUACUGCUUCGACCAUGCUGAAGAAUGGUAAAACAUUUUCAUCUCCACAAUUUAAGCCCAUUAAUCUGAAGAACUUGGAGAUAAAGCAGGCUAUUUCAAAUGGUAAUGGCAACCUUGAUCUUCAGAAUAAAGGGUCUAUUGAGAAGGGUACGGUUGCACUUGAAUGUGGUUUUGUGGGUGAAACUAAGAUAGUACAAAAAGUCAAGACAUCAAUGGCAUCUAAUCUCAGUUCUGCCAAUGUAAAUUUUUCUUCUGAUACGGUGGAGAAAAAUAAUAAGCAGACAUUAUUUUUACCAAAUGUAAAUGCAUGUACAAAAGAAUUGGAUAUGGAUGCUCAUGUGGAGGACAUUGAAGGUGCAGCAACUCUGAAUAGAGGUUUUGAUAAUGGCAGUUCAUCGAAAUUGGAGACUAAUAAGCAUCAUGCUAUUGUAUCGACUUUUAACACAGAGUUAUCUAAUACUAAAACAACUGAAAAUUUAGCAAGUGAUUUGCCGAGGGGAAAUGGUUCACACAAGAAUCAGAGAGCAUGUGGUAAAAGGCAUUACCAAGAGGAAAUUGAGAAGUUCAAAGAAGUACUUGCUGGAGAAGCCUCUUCUGAACUGCACUCUUGUGGCUGGGUUGAUCAGGUUCAAAAUUUCAUGCGUGCUAGAAAGAGAUUAUGCAUGCAAGAAUCAGGCACCUCUUCUGAUAAUAGUCUAAUAAGGAGACACUUGAUCAAUGAUGCCAGAAAGACCUUCAUCUCACAAAUUCCUGAGUCUCUAAAGGAGCACCUCAUUGAGCACCUCAGAUUUUUCAGUCAAGAAACACCUUUAUUGGAUUCUUGAAUUUCAGAUGAUGUCCUUUAUGUUGCGACUGGAUGAUGCAUGGAUAUACUAUUGACUAUUCCAAAUUUGAAGGGCAUAAUUUCCUUCUCUGCAAAAUUCUUUUGGUAUGUGGAGAAUGUUGAAGACCUUUUUUGCAUCAAGCUCCAUGGGUUUCAGGAGAUUUAUCACUUGAAGCUUCUACUUCAGUUCAUGUGUAUCUGAGAAUAUUAUUGAUUUCAUUGGCACUUCCCCUAUCAGUGAGAUUCACAAUUUUGAGGUUAAAAGUUUUGCGGAGUAACUUCCUAUGUAACAUAUCUUUUUUGAUAUUGUCGCUGAUGAUCAAUUUCCCAAGGCUUAUCCUUUUUUCAUUCUUCCAAUAUGUUGUGCAACUGAAUCUCGAAGACGAUUGCAGUCAGGAGCUACAUGAAGCGAAAAUUCUAUGUAUGCUUUGCUAGUCUAUUUUUAUCAUCUCAACAAGAUAGAGAUCGAGGAACACAAUCUUGUAUCCGACCUGUACCGACAUUGGAUCAGUACAUACCAUCAGUACUGGUGUAUCAACACUUGAUACACUGAUAUGUACCGAAAAUAAAGAAGAGGAAGAAGAGGAAGAGGUGAUGGAGGAAGAGGACAGUGGAGGAAGGGGAACAGGAGGAAGAGGAUAAGGAGAAAAGGAGGAAGCAUAUCCAAAACCAUGUUGACAGUGAACAUUGGGUGGCGAGGAGGCUGGCGGCAGCGAACGGCAACAUUCCGCUUGUGGAGAGGGAGAAGUUUGUGGAGUUUCUUUUAAUCAGCAAAUUACUGAACUUUUAAAUCAGUUUAGAACUUUUUUUUUUUGGUCUUUUCCUUUUCAUUCGAAAGACUGGAAGAAAUCACUGUUUCAGAUUUUAGUUUACAUGUCAAACAUAAUCAAUGGUUUA